AGAGUUUUGAAUCCUACAUACGUAUAACUACAUAUUUUUCAAAAUUCGUUAACAUUUAUCCAUUUCCAGCCCUUCCCAGUCGCUUGACUCAAUUGAAAAACCAUUAAGACCCGCACUUGGGCCCUGAGCCGUCCGAGUUCUCGCUUUCUGCAGUUGCUCAAUUAGCUGUUGAAUUGUUUUUCACACCAGCAGAAAUGAAAAACAAACUCCACGGCUGGCUGAGAGUGGAAAACAUAAAUCACUGAAAACUCCCGCCCGGAAUUUACAUAAAUAUGUGUGUGAGUCGCAGUUGCAGAUGCCGAAAUAUCCGCGUGGGCUGGCUUGAAAGAAAGACAAGACUUUGUCUCGCCUAAACAUCAUUAAGAAUAAAACCAAUUAACGGUCUCGAGUGCCGGCACAACAACAACAACAACAACAAGGGGAGGAGUCACCCCUCAGAAGCGGGGUUAUCGCGGCAGUUCCCAAAAAUAGUUGCAGUUUGGCAAAAAUAUGUGAAAAAUGAGCUGAGCGAGGGGUAUCCGGGGGGAUGAGUGAAAAAUGUCAUUGGCAUUUCACACACACGCGCGCACACACACGCACACACACAAAAGCUGUUAGUGUUGCUGUUGCGGUUGCAUUGGGGUGGGGGUUGGGUUCGCAUUCGGCUAUUUGGGUUCGCAUAUUGAGCUCAGGGGUUGCUGCUGCAUCUGUUUGACAAUUGUAAGCAAUUUCUAUAUUGUAUACCCUGUACCCAUUGGAAACGGCUGCAACAGGGUAUGAUCGUUGCGCUCAAAUAUAUGUAACAGACAGAAAGAA